GAUGAACGCUGGCGGCGUGCCUAACACAUGCAAGUCGAGCGGCAGCGAGGGGUGCUUGCACCCUGUCGGCGAGCGGCGGACGGCUGAGUAACGCGUGGGAACGUGCCCCAAAGUGAGGAAUAACUGCCCGAAAGGGUAGCUAAUACCGCAUAUUAUCUUCGGAUCAAAGGAUUUAUCCGCUUUGGGAGCGGCUCGCGUCGGAUUAGGUAGUUGGUGAGGUAAUGGCUCACCAAGCCGACGAUCCGUAGCUGGUCUGAGAGGAUGACCAGCCAGACUGGAACUGAGACACGGUCCAGACUCUUACGGGAGGAAGCAGUGAGGAAUCUUCCACAAUGGGCGAAAGCCUGAUGGAGCAACGCCGCGUGAAGGACGAAGGCCUUCGGGUUGUAAACUGCUUUUAUAAGUGAGGAAUAUGACGGUAACUUAUGAAUAAGGAUCGGCUAACUACGUG
rnacentral:rRNA from 1 species